AUUGAACGCUGGCGGCAUGCUUUACACAUGCAAGUCGAACGGCAGCACGGACUUCGGUCUGGUGGCGAGUGGCGAACGGGUGAGUAAUACAUCGGAACGUGCCCAGUUGUGGGGGAUAACUACUCGAAAGAGUAGCUAAUACCGCAUGAGAACUGAGGUUGAAAGCAGGGGAUCGGAAGACCUUGCGCAACUGGAGCGGCCGAUGGCAGAUUAGGUAGUUGGUGGGAUAAAAGCUUACCAAGCCGACGAUCUGUAGCUGGUCUGAGAGGACGACCAGCCACGCUGGGACUGAGACACGGCCCAGACUCCUACGGGAGGCAGCAGUGGGGAAUUUUGGACAAUGGGCGAAAGCCUGAUCCAGCAAUGCCGCGUGCAGGAUGAAGGCCCUCGGGCUGUAAACUGCUUUUGUACGGAACGAAAAGCUUCGGGUUAAUACCCUGGAGUCAUGACGGUACCGUAAGAAUAAGCACCGGCUAACUACGUGCCAGCCGCCGCAGUAA
rnacentral:rRNA from 1 species